UUCCAUGUGCAUGCUCUGCCUUCUGGAUGUAGUACACACCACACAUCCUACAAAUGUGGGGUGCCUCCUGUUGAGGGCUUUGAGAACCACAAUCUUUUCUCUGAUCAUUCCAGAACCUCAGGAAAUUAUUCCUUUCCCUAAAUCCUUUGGGUUGCAUUUUGAGCCCCUUUCCUCCUGGUUUAUCAUGAGAGCCAAGAGAACAACAAAACUCACAAACUCAAACAAAAAAAAGUUAAUAGACUUUUGGGCUGAGGCUCCAGAAAUCCAGAAAAAGAUUCCUUUCUCCUCCCUUUCAACAGAAGAGGAAAGCAGAAGAGAAAACAUCCAUCAAAUACACGUUUAAUAUAGCUCAUCUCAUUCAAUCUCCAGUGCCCUAGAAAGGAAUUAUUAUCCUGAGUUUUCAGUUGAGGAGGGAGCCACCCUUUCUAGGGAAGUCAGGAGUCUGGUUACACUUGUUCCUCCACCCGGAAGCCACUCCCACAGCCACCUGAAGAAAGCCCCAGAACCAGCUAGAAUAGGUAAGAGGACAUUCUGGAACCUCCAUCUGGAAAGCUGGCCCUUCUUCUUCUGGCUCAGCAGCUCUCAACCCAGAACCAUCACCACUGCCACUCCCCCCACCAGGAUCAUCUGCACAUGCGCACACACACACACACACACACACACACACACACACACCCUCCUACCACACGAUUACCCUGGGGCCAAAAGGGCAAAAGGAGGGGAACUCCCCAGGAAGGUGGAGGAUGGUAUAGAAGAUGAAAAGGGCACACUCUCCUGGACAGACAGGUGCCAGACCUCAGGACAAGAAAUACAGCUGCUCAUGUCACAGUUCCUCAGUGUCCAGGAAGCUGCUCCAGACACAAUCAUCAGGCCUGUUUGGGGGCCCAGGUGGGUGGGAACAAUUGGCCUGUCUCCUCUGGGCUGCAGGGAGCAGACCCCUUCCAUUCACACAGCCUUCUGAGGGUUGAGGGAGACCAGGAAAGACCAGGCCAGUGCUCUCCAGAGAAGAGAGGACCCCAGCGCCACCCUGCAUUCUGCGCCGGCCACUGUGCCAUCCCAGGCCUCUGCGCCAACUCAUGGUCUCUGACCUCUCUGCCUUGAAGUGGGUGGAACGACCAGAUACUGGAAACCUGUGUUUAGGGAGAACAGCAAGGGGGGCAGGGGUGACGGCAGAAGGAGCACGGAUCACACCCCCAGGUCUCCCUAGCUCUGGGGCUUGGAGCAGGAGGGGGUCUCGCUCCACCUCUUGACUUGCCAGUGUUAGAAGGGGUGGGAUGUCUGGGAAUGACGCUUGCUUAUUUUUCAAUUGGCUCUUUUCUCCUCAGAAGGUGAAACCUCUGGGCAAAGUAUCCAAGGGUUACGGCUGCUCAGCCAUAGGACCCACGGGCUAGUGCCAGAUCCUGGACCUACCUUUACAGAACUGAGUGAUUAUGCGAGUGUUUUGCUAACAACAGCCACAAAAGUUCUCCUCCACUGGGAAUUCUGCCUCCAGCUUUAAGGUAACAUGCUUUCUUUUUUCUCAGAUAUGUUGGUUCUUCACUCUGCACUUCCCUUGUUUCUCAAGAUAGCCUAAAAUGAAUGAGCUGGCCAAACCGGCCUACCAUCUUCUACAGACUUCCCAAGUCCCCGGUGCAUUUCUUCCCUCACAGGCCAUUUUUCUUAACAAUCUGAAACCAACUGUGCCCACCCAUUUCCCCUCCAUGUCCUUCCUAUGUCUUUCCUUCAAUCGGCUUAUUUAUGAAGUCUUCCAAAAUCACUAUUGCAUCAUACCGACAUCACAGCAGUACAUGUUUAUACUAUACACAUGCCUAACACGGGGGGCGGGGAGGGGAUUGUAACAAAAUUGCAAGAAGUAAUCAAUGGUAGAAAUGAUCCUUUACCAACCCAACAUUCUUCCUGCAGCAUGCCCCUUCUACUCUGCUAAUAGAACCUCAAUUUGUUCAGCUACUAGUAGAAAUCUUUUGACUUUAGGGAGAGAAGACCCCCUACUCUGGCCAUAAGGAAUGAAUUGUGAUUCGCCUAGAGAACAUAUAGUAAUCUCAUUCUCUUAAGCAUUAUUCACAAUAGCCAAGACUUGGAAGCAACCCAAGUGCCCAUCAACA